GAAACGGUAGCUCAAUGGAAGAGUACUGACCUGCCAAGUCAGAGGCUGCGGGUUCGAGUCCCGUACGUUUCU
rnacentral:tRNA from 1 species